rnacentral:rRNA from 1 species
UAAUACAUGCAAGUAGAACGCUGAAGGAGGAGCUUGCUUCUCUGGAUGAGUUGCGAACGGGUGAGUAACGCGUAGGUAACCUGCCUGGUAGCGGGGGAUAACUAUUGGAAACGAUAGCUAAUACCGCAUAACAGUAGAUGUUGCAUGACAUUUGCUUAAAAGGUGCAAUUGCAUCACUACCAGAUGGACCUGCGUUGUAUUAGCUAGUUGGUGGGGUAACGGCUCACCAAGGCGACGAUACAUAGCCGACCUGAGAGGGUGAUCGGCCACACUGGGACUGAGACACGGCCCAGACUCCUACGGGAGGCAGCAGUAGGGAAUCUUCGGCAAUGGACGGAAGUCUGACCGAGCAACGCCGCGUGAGUGAAGAAGGUUUUCGGAUCGUAAAGCUCUGUUGUAAGAGAAGAACGAGUGUGAGAGUGGAAAGUUCACACUGUGACGGUAUCUUACCAGAAAGGGACGGCUAACUACGUGCCAGCAGCCGCGGUAAUACGUAGGUCCCGAGCGUUGUCCGGAUUUAUUGGGCGUAAAGCGAGCGCAGGCGGUUAGAUAAGUCUGAAGUUAAAGGCUGUGGCUUAACCAUAGUACGCUUUGGAAACUGUUUAACUUGAGUGCAAGAGGGGAGAGUGGAA